rnacentral:tRNA from 1 species
ACUAUUUUGGCAGAUUAGUGCAAUAAAUUUAGAAUUUAUAUAUGUAAAAUUAUAAUUACAAAUAGUA